AUUAAACAGCCUAUAUAAACGGAAACGUUGUGAAUUAUUUAAAUAUCUAUUUGAACGAACGAUUUUAACGUUAACUGGCUUCUUUGUUAACCAAGCUAGUUAAUAACUAACCUAGCUAGUUAGACAGGUUAAUUUGCUAACGCUAACAUUAAUUAUCCAAUUGCUGUUCAUAUAAAUACAGUUUACUAGGAAAAAACUAGAAAAAUGCCAACCCAGCUAAGACAGUAUAUACAAGGCCUUUCAGCAGCCCGGGAUCAUGAGUACUGCUCACCUGCUUCACACAACACCUCAGAACCUGUUAUUUAUGUCUCGCCUCAAUACAUUAUUGGCCACACUGAGAUCCUUCAUGACUGCGGCCUCUGCCCAGUGUACCAUAAUGUGAUGUUUAGACACUCAGAGAGGCCUGAUUGCAGGCCUGCAUGGCUGGGAUCCAAAAAGAAGUCUGAAGGUGCCGUGCCACAGAACUGCGAUGGAUUGCUUGAGGCCUCCAGCCUGCAGACUCUGGAGGAGCUACUAGCAAAGCUGGAGUUUGAGAAUGAGCUCAACCGGGUGUGUGGCAACCUCAGGGUGACCACGAACACACAGUCAUCACCACUACCAUCAGACAGAGGGAGUUACAGUACAGAAAGUGCAGACAGUGGCGGGGAGGAAGGUGAAGACAGUGAAGAGGACACUGAUGGUGAGGAAGACGUGCUCACAGGCCUGCUGGACAUGGUACUGGAGAUGGAGCAGGACUAUGACCUCUACUUCUAGUUGUGGGUGGAUCAGAGUUAUUUUCCUUGCAUGGGCAGAGCACUGGAGCACAGGACUCUGGAGAAAUGGAUUUUAGGCUCUAGUUUAGUGAUAAAACAAUAAAGAACUGUGGCCUUAAAAGUUACCA
rnacentral:lncRNA from 1 species